GGUUGAUCCUGCCAGUAGUGUACGCUUGUCCCAAAGAUUAAGCCAUGCAUGUCUAUGUACAACCUUUGUACGGUGAAACUGCGAACGGCUCAUUAUAUCAGUUAUAAUCUACUUGAUGAUUCUUACUACUUGGAUACCCGUGGUAAUUCUACAGCUAAUACAUGCAUCGAGGCCCGUCAGGGUUGUAUUUAUUAGAUAAAAACCAGCGCCUUUGGGCAAUUGGUGAGUCAUGAUAACUGCGCGGAUCGUAUGGCCUAGCGCCGGCGACGCUUCAUUCGAGUUUCUGCCCUAU
rnacentral:rRNA from 1 species